GUGUGCGCGCGAGCUUCAGUAAACCGCACGAGCUCAACGCGUUCACACGCUCGCGAGGCUGAAGCCAGAAAAAAAAAAAAAAGAAAAUGAGCUUCACUUUUGCUCUGUUAGCAGGUGUGAUGCUAAGUAUAGGAUGUGAUGGAAACCAAUCAGGAGGAAGUGAAAGAACACCUUCCAGUACCAUUCAAUCUUUAACAUCUAUCUCCACACAAGUGUCCACGAUAACCACCACUGCAAUUCCAACUUUAACAAACACCUCCAUUCAAACCACAAAUGAUCUAGUGUCUACCACGAUUAAGAACCCCACUAAGAGGACAUCUACUGAAUCAAAAAUGACGCAAGGAACAAGUCCAAAUAUGUCAGCAGAAACAGCCACCAAACCAACUGAACAUGUGACCACCACCAACACAGACUCUGCCACCACAACUGCCAACAACACAGACUCCACCACUACAACUGCCAACAACACAGACUCCACCACUACAACUGCCAACAACACAGACUCCACCACUACAACUGCCAACAACACAGACUCCACCACCACAACUGCCAACAACACAGACUCCACCACCACAACUGCCAACAACACAGACAACACCACCACCAGCUGCACAGUGCCAACAACAGGCACUACCAUUCCCUCAACAUCAUCUACUCAUUCAACUACAACAAAAGUGAGUUCCAGUUCAACAUCCAUCACUCCCCAGUCCUCCACUCCAACCAGUUUGGUGACGCAAGUAACUUCAACAGGAAAACCAACGUCAUCCACAGCGUUGUCCAGUACAUCAAAAGACUCAAAUAUUGCCAGUCCUGUCAAAAAACUGAGUUCAGUGAGUAUCGCCGCCAUCGUCAUCGGGUUCAUCGUCCUCGUGAUAUUUUUACUGGGCGGAGCGUAUUACUUCAAAAUAAAGCGUCCUUCUUAUGGCCGUCUCCUGGAUGACUCUGAAUCCGGAUCAGUGGGCAAUUUCUUCAACCCCAUGUUUGAUGGCUAAGUGCCACUUAACCACUUAAGAACAUGUUCCAGUAUUGAUCCUUUUCAGAGGCCAGGAUUUGGACGAUGUGGCUUUGAACAAGUAGACACCGACUAAUCUGAUGAUCAUCAUCUGUUCUUUCAGUGAACUCAUGAGCUGAUAAUCUGAACAAGCAUUUUGGGGUCUGCUACUCAACAAAUCUGGGAAACUCACCAAUAAUCUACAGUCGAGAUUGUCUCCUGAUGGAUUCAUAAGGUUCUGUAUCAUCUGUAGUCAGUGCCUGGAAAAUGGACCAUUUUGGGUUGCGUGCACAUGAUUUCAGGUCAGAUUUACAGUCACUUCCCUUGGUUCAAUUUCACUUUGGUUUGUAUUUCCUGCAUACGAAGGCUUGGUAGUGUAAUGCAGCAGGUAUAACUCAAAAUCCAUAAUCUGAGCGUCUGGGAUGAAAAUCUGGCGGAUUUACACAAAUGUGUAAUGCAGGUGUACUUCAGGAACAGGAUUGAGAAAUACUGAUUGUGAGAAUAUAGUACCAGUCAAAAGUUUGUACACACCUACUCAGUCAAGUCAAGUUUAUUUGUAUAACACUUUUAACAAUAAGCAUUGUCGUAAAGCAGCUUUACAGAAUUUGAAUGACUUAAAAUAUGAGCUAAUUUCAUCCCUAAUCUAUCCCCAAUGAGCAAGCCUGUGGCGAUGGUGGCAAGGAAAAACUCCCUCAGAUGACACGAGGAAGAAACCUCGAGAGGAACCAGACUCAAAAGGGAACCCAUCCCCAUCCGGGCAACAACAGACAACAUGACUAAUAUUAACAGUCCUAACAUAAAGUCAGCUUCGUUGAUGCUAUAAACCCCCCACCGACGGAAACCCGAGCGUAAAACCGUUCACGAACACCAUAGUCCCAAAGUCAGCAAGUCAACUGCAGUCCUAAAGUCAGCAAGUCAACUGCAGUCCCCAGCCACAAAAGAGUCCAGAGCGUCCUCCAGGCGCGACCUCCAACUGUCCACAUGGGGCCGCCCUCCACAGGAGCGAUGCGAUGAGACUCCAACCAGACACAGGGCACCAGGAUGGAUCAGGCAGAUCCGAGGAGCAGAAGAGGUCAGCAUCUCGAUCCCAGGACCGACAUGUAACUCAGAGGGAGAGAUUUUUUUUUGGGGGGGGGGGGGGAGAAGAGAGAGAAAACACAGGUUGUAAAGGCCAAUUUAUGCUGACAACCCAGUCCUCGCAGACGGUGUCUCAGACAGUGUCUGUGUAGCCCCCCCACCUUCGCAGACGCUCUGCGCGCACCUCCCAAAAAUUGUGACCACCGCAGAAGCCUCGCAGACAGCGCCGCAGACAAGAGGGCUCUGAUUGGUCCACUCUACCCGCUGUACACGCACUUCCGCUUCCCUACUUUCCUGGUUUGUUUUGUUUUCACGACCGGCAUUUUUAAAAACACGAGCGAAGAUGGAGCAGCAUGAAGAGCAGUUGAUUGAGGAAGUACGUACAUCUAUACGACUCCAGUUCUAGUCAUUAUAAAAAAAAAAAGGUCUAGUCAUUAUAAGUAACUGGAGGAUAAACACUCCACUAACCACACCCACCAACUACUCCUAGCGACUUCGCGCCCCCUUGCGUUGUGCCGCACGCCUAUUCCCCCGCUCAACAAUAAAUUACAACUGUCUGCGAAAAGCUAUCUGCGAAAGCCUUGUCGCAAGAGCAUGCAGAGGCCUUUAGGUAUGCCCAAUGUCACCUGAAUAAGUAGGAACAGUAUACAUAUUGCACUGAGUACAAGCAGGGACUCCGGCAACUAACUAUGAAAGCAUAACUAAAAGGGGAGAGCCAGAAGGUAACACAGGCAUGAGGGAGCCCCGGGACAUAAAGCAGCAGCCACUACACCGUCAACAAACUCGAGUGAGCAAGCGAGCAGGGACUGACAGCAUCCAUACAUCCCAGUUUACCAAAACACUCUAUGUCUGAGGACCUUCCAGAUCUACACCUUUACCUCAUAAACACCAUUAACACAAGGCUUGACUAAACAAAUAUGUUUUCAGCCUAGACUUAAACGCUGAGACUGUGUCUGAUUCCCGAACACUACUUGGAAGGCUGUUCUAUAACUGUGGGGCUUUGUAAGAAAAGGCUCCGCCCCCUGAUGUAGCCUUCACUAUACGAGGUACCAGCAAAUAGCCUGCACCUUUUGAUCUAAGUAGGCAUGGCGGGUCAUAAAGGAGCAGAGUUUUGACUAUUUUCUACAUUGUAGAACAACACCGAGUUAAUUAGUGGACUAGUUUCUUGCCGUUUGAGAUCAAACACUAAAUAGUAAAUAAUAAAAAUACAGUAAAUAGCCCUAUUCCACAACUGUAGUGAUCCAUAUCAUGUCACAAGCCAAUCAACUAAGUAAAGAGAAAUGACAUCUAUCAUUACUUUAAGACGUGAAGUGUCUCUUAAUUAAUAAAAAUAAAGAAAAACUAUUGAACUAAAACAUGCGUCCAAACUUUUGACUGGUACUGGACGUUUGUCACCAUUCCACAAAGGCAACAGUUGACCAACUUGAGUCAUAAUCUAAAAUUACAGAGCUUAUUCUCAGUGCGUCAUCUAUCUUGGCCAGGACUGGGAGCUAAAACUCAUCAGCUAAUUCACAACGCCUUCAUGGGUAAACACAAAACUCUGUAGGGUUGUUGCCCUUGAGAAUUUGAGUAUUUUACACAUGUGCUAUAGGGGAAGUGUUAUAUGUACAAGUUAUAUGUACAACCCCGAUUCCAAAAAAGUUGGGACAAAGUACAAAUUGUAAAUAAAAACGGAAUGCAAUAAUUUACAAAUCUCAAAAACUGAUAUUGUAUUCACAAUAGAACAUAGACAACAUAUCAAAUGUCGAAAGUGAGACAUUUUGAAAUUUCAUGCCAAAUAUUGGCUCAUUUGAAAUUUCAUGACAGCAACACAUCUCAAAAAAGUAGUGUCCAAGUAGAACCACCAUAGGGACCGAAGAACUCUUUAGUUUUUCAAAGAACCUCUGAAGAACCCUUGUUAACAAAUAGUGUGGACAUGAUAGGCUUCAUUGGUCCCUUCGCUGUAAAUAUAGCUAUAUUCACCUUCGAAAAUAAACUCAAACAGAUGUUUACACUUCACACAUUCCUCAGUUCAGGUUAUUAAGAAUGCAUGAUAUAAAAAUAAUUUGGAGAAAUGCAAUAGAAAUGUUUAAAACACGACAAACUGCAUUCAGUUGGAAUGUUAGAUAAUAAGAUGUAAUUUGCUUCAGAUGAAAUAAAUGAGAAAAUUCUUGAUUGAUAAUACAUGUAACCAUAUCUGUUAGAUAUUCUGUGGUGUUGCCAAGCCACAUUGCCAUUAUCUUCUCAAUUAUUUUUCAUUAAAGUUCUUUAGAAAGCAGGAACGGUUCCAGGGUGUUUUCUUUCAGAUGUUUUAAAUGGCUUUUGUCUUGUUCCAAACCAAGCUAAAACAGUGAGCGAGUGAUUCAAACUAAUGUUUGGAUUUCUAGACUGUAAUUAUACAGAUUAAGUCAGGCCACUGACGAGAAGGAGGCGUCAGCGGAUAUUACUCAAAGCUUGUGGAGCAUCACUCAUUCAUCAGUCUGGAUAGAUUCCUGACUGAACCCACCCUGAGCUUACUCUCGAUCGGUAUAUAAACUUUAGCAAUUCAGAAGCAGAGAUACUGGAAUAAGUGGACUGAGCACUGAAGCAAGGUAAAUUUUAAUUGAAUAACGUUUAUAAUUCAAUGAAUGUGGUGUUUAUUUCAAAGCUGUAACACAGUAUAACCAGGAGGUCUAUUAAUAUUCAUCAUCAUAACCUUCUUCACCUGAAGGAUGUGGACGUUGAGGACAGCAGUGCUGGUGACACUCUUAGCAUUGGUUUUUGCCAAACCACUUCAUCCACGGAAUGGAAAUAGACGUCUGGCAAUAAACUGGGCAUUUCAGGAGUCUGAUUCCAUGGAAUCAAAUGAAUCAAGCAACGUGACCGACAUGGAUGACACAGAUUCAUCUUCUGAAUCUGAUAUGUCUAAAUCCGGUGAAUCGAGUGGUUCUUCAAGUAACGACUCUGAAUCCAAUGAGUCUGCAUCGUCCGAGGAGGAUUUUCUCACCACUGCUGAACCAGAGACCACAAACAGUGUAACUGUACUUCCACCACUGAUCACAACUGGACACGUUACGUGUUUUACAGUGCAUCGGGAAACUCCGAGAGGAGACAACUUUUAGUUGUUUAGUUUUACCAUUUGGUGGUUUGCUGGUUUAAAGGAAAUUUUCCUGAAUGUUUGAUAGAUUCACAUUUGAGACACUUUUAAGUUUAUUUCAUUUCGUUUGACUUGUCUUUGCUUUAUUGCAUCUUAGUGAAUUUUAUAUAAUGCUUUUCCAGUACUAUUAUUAUACCAAAGGUAAUAGGAGCUGAGUACUCUUUACUACACACGAGUGGUAGACUCAAAUAUCUGCAAUGCACUUUUGAUCUGUUAUGUUGCACUAAGCUAAAUUAAAACAUUAUUUAAUAAAAUAAAACCAUUUACCAU